rnacentral:rRNA from 1 species
GACGAACGCUGGCGGCGUGCCUAAUACAUGCAAGUCGAGCGGAGCGGCGGAUGGGUGAGUAACGCGUGGGUAACCUGACCAUAAGUGUGGAAUAGCAUUUGGAAACAGAUGCUAAUACCGGAUACUAAAGGAUGGAGCGGCGAUGCAUUAGCUAGUUGGUAAGGUAACGGCUUACCAAGACGAUGAUGCAUAGCCGAUUGGAGAGACUGAUCGGCCACAUUGGGACUGAGACACGGCCCAGACUCCUACGGGAGGCAGCAGUAGGGAAUCUGCCGCAAUGGACGAAAGUCUUAUACAGCAACGCCGCGUGAGUGAAGAAGGUUUUCGGAUCGUAAAGCUCGGUUGUUGGUGAAGCGGUAAUCAACCAGAAAGUCACGGCUAACUACGUGCCAGCAGCCGCGGUAAUAC